rnacentral:rRNA from 1 species
UACGGAGGGUGCGAACGUUAAUCGGAAUCACUGGGCGUAAAGCGCGCGUAGGCGGUUCGUUAAGUGGGAUGUGAAAUCCCCGGGCUUAACCUGGGAAUUGCAUUUCAAACUGGCCGACUAGAGUACGGUAGAGGGAGGUAGAAUUUCCUGUGUAGCGGUGAAAUGCGUAGAUAUAGGAAGGAAUACCAGUGGCGAAGGCGGCCUCCUGGAUCGAUACUGACGCUCAUGCACGAAAGCGUGGGGAGCAAACAGG